CAGGAGAAAAUGAUUGUGUAACUAUCACAGAAAAGAACCAAGCCAGUCUGGAGGAUAUAAUGAUGACUCCUGCUAUCAGAACCAGAAAACCUAAAGGGAG